GAUGAACGCUGGCGGCGUGCUUAAUACAUGCAAGUCGAGCGAACAGACGAUGCGCUUGUUCCUCUGACGUUAGCGGAGGACGGGUGAGUAACAUGUGGAUCAUCUCCCUAUCAGACUGGGAUAAUUUCGGGAAACCGGAGCUUACACCGUAUAAUAUACUGAACCACAUGGUUUAAUGGUGACAGACGGCUUUUCGGUCACGUAUAGCUGCAUCCGCGCUGCAUUAGCUGGUAGGUACGGUAAAGGCUUACCACGGCUACGAUGCGUAGCCGACCUGAGAGGGUGAUGGGCCACACUGGAGGUAGGACGGGGACCAAAGUCCUGAGGGAGGGCGCAGUAGCGAAUCUGGCGCAGUGGGCGGAAGCCUUACAAAACAAGGCGGCGUGAGUGAUGGAGGUCUUCGGGUCGUGAAACUCUGUUAUUAGGGAAGAACAAAUGUGUAAGUAGCUAUGCACAUCUUGACGGUACCUGAGCAGGAAGCCACGGCUAACUACGUG
rnacentral:rRNA from 1 species